GACGGAAGGUGCAAGCGUUGCUCGGAAUCACUGGGCGUAAAGGGUGCGUAGGCGGCCGUGCAAGUCUGGCGUGAAAGCCCCGGGCUCAGCCCGGGAAGUGCGCUCGAAACUGCGCGGCUCGAGUGCCGGAGGGGAGAGUGGAAUUCCUGGUGUAGCGGUGAAAUGCGCAGAUAUCAGGAGGAACACCCGUGGCGAAAGCGGCUCUCUGGGACGGUACUGACGCUGAGACGCGAAAGCGUGGGGAGCGAACAGG
rnacentral:rRNA from 1 species